rnacentral:misc_RNA from 1 species
UCGAACCCUGCAAGGCAGAACGACCCGUGAACAUGUAACCACAACGGGGUGACCGUGAUAAGGGCCUCGGUCCUUAGCCCCUAACACUUCCCGACGUGAGUUCGUGGUGUCUUUUUUGGGGCAUCAUGGAUUCCGUUGGACCAUAACAAAACCCCGGCACGCUAUGUGCCAAGGAAAACAAAAAUGAGAAGGACACUACCAGUUUCGCCCCGUUUGCGGUGUGCGUACAGGUCGUGGCCUCCUUGGAAUCA